UAGGCAGGGAGGGGGAAACUCAUCCCGUCCAGGGAGGCCAGGAGCAAACAGCCACAAACACCUGCUGUGGGCCUUCUCCGACCGAAAACAAUAACUGGAAUAAAUUCACUUUUGCGGCUCUGACUGUUUUCCGGACAACGUCGGAUCGGUCAAACAGUCACAUUAGCAGCAGACGAUGAUGAAGCAAGGCCCACCGCCAGUUGGACAGUCUGAGGAGAUGUCCAAGAGAAUUAAUGGCUGAUGAAUAAUUCAAGAAUAUUGAAAAAUCGAAAGUGUAACUCCUGUUGGGUGUGUCUCCGAUCCCCUUUUUAUCCCCUAUUACCGAGCGACUUGGCAUGUGUUUGGCUGUUAGUGGACGUGUGGAAAGAAAAAACAGGCGGGGCAGACAAAAGAUGUAGGAAAUUGGUUGGAUGAAGAAUAGUGGAGAACUUUUAAUUGUCUCUAGUUUCUUUCAAUAAUACACUCGAUUGGAUACAUCAGACCACAACUAUUCAAAAUUUAAAAAUUAAAUAAAAAAUACAAAAAACAACAGCAAUUACUUCUAAAAGUGGCCAUGGAAACUAGUCUAACUACACAACAGUAUGUAAGGCGGUUAUUUACUCAAAAAAAUAGCGAGGAGGGUGGAAAAUGAACCUCCACAAGAUUCUAGUGUCUUUAAAUCAGAUACUGUAAUGAAGGGAGAACUUAAUCCAGAGUUGUUCAAAAUACUAUUACUUAGAAUACCUCUGAAAUUCAAAUCACAAGAUGUGGACAGGUUAGUUAUACAGCAGUGAGACAAAUGACUUUACCAUAUAUACUGUAAAUUUCCCUAAAAUUGUCACUAAACUUUUAAUCCCCCAUGCUUAAGGGAACACUUAUCGUAAGGAACUGCUGUUAAGAAAACAACAAAGAAGACCACACAAUUGAUAUCUGGUGUAUAAAUGGAGAACCCACUCAAUUUGUGAUUCUGUAAUUCGUUAUCCUAUCAGCAUAAUUUUAGUUUUUUUUUUUGUAACGCCCUAAACUGCCACAAGGCGUGGCCGAAGAGUUAGUAACAAAGUCGUAAUUAGUACUGUACUUUUUCAAGUUUAAAAGGCAACAUAAAUGACGGGAUCCUUGUACUUAUAGUGACCCCCGCAAAAAAUAUAAAGACAUCAGGGGUCCAAUUGUUUUUAAUGUUAAUGCCAUAUGUGUUUGAAAUAGUAUUGAAUUGUAUGAGGCGUAUUUAAAGUCUUGAAUGUAGGACAUUCUAAAACAUUUCCGAGGGUUCAAAAUUGGUCGAAGUUUUUGCUAUUCUGUGUGUUAUGUCUUGGUUCCUAGUUCACUAUAUUCAAGAUCUCACAGUGGUUUUGACCUAUCUGACCCAUCUGUUACAAACAAACAAACAAAAAACAUGCUGUGACUCAUUUUCAUUUUUCAGAAAAUGUCAUUUGUGUCAUGAUAGGGUUGAAUCUUGUGACACUUCUUUCAAUAUUUCAGUGUUUAGUGGCCAAAUGUCUGCCGUUAAGCUCUCUUUAGUCUCAUUGCUGUUGUUUGUUUCCUAGGUUCGCCGAGUUCUUGCCGCCAACGCCAUAAACAGAGAGUCCAAAACAUCCAUUUAAAUGUUGAAUUAAAAAUCCCCCUUGCCUGUUGCUAGGUGCAACAGAAUCACAGCCCAGUGACAGUGUGCAGCAAUUCUUCUGUCAUCUCCGCUUGCAGUUCUUUCUCAGUGUUUUCCCCAAAAUGUCAUCAAAUGACUUUUUUCGUGGCUUCUGACGCCCCCUUUCAACAAUGUCGCACUCCGAGAUUUGUUUUGUUUUCCUCUUAGUUCCAUGCAAACAGGAUAAAUUGGCCCUAGAUCAAACCAUAAUGGCAAAAAGGUAAAAAAAAAAAAAAAAAAAACGUUCUAAUGAUGGAGAUUUGGUUUAAGAUUAUGGCAGAAGUGUCAAACUUAAGGCCUGAGUGACUGCCACAUUAUUUUUCGUGGCUUACUAAAACACCUCAAGUAUGUCUACAUCAUGCUAAAUUGAUUUGUUGAUUUAUUUGCCAUUUUUCAAUAUAAUUACAAGCAUUUUCCCCUCCAUACCCCUUCUCGACAGAAAUUUAACAAAAGUAUUUGUAUUAGUUGUAACUAUUUUCCAUGAUAUUAGAUUUCAAACUCAAUUUGUUGCUUAUAAUGUAUAAAACCAAUGAUAUGCAGAAGCAAAUUAGAUGACGUUAGGGACUAGGGGUUACUGGGAUAGUGAGUUAUGGCCUGUUAAGUAUUUUUGCAUAACCACUGUAGCUAACAAAUGGCAACAUAGAUGAAAACUUAACCACCUUGGGUAAGAUAAACCCAAGUAUUUUACCUACGCAAAAAUGUAUUUCAACUAAAAAAAUAAAAACACCUCCCGACACUGUUGGCUCAGGCAAAAAUAAGACACUUAGCCAAUAAAAGCCAAGAAAAACUCCUAUUGUAAUUUACAACACAUUCUCAUUUAACGUUUAACCUGGGAGUCCUUGGUGCAUUAACCUUAUCAUUACUGCCCGCUUAUAGCUAGUACGGCAGCAAGCAGAUCUGUACCUACUCCAACCAGCUGACGUGGGACCAGCAUGCCUGCCACUACCCAUUCCAGACCAUGACUUUAAUCACCUCCAUGAAUGGCAUGGGUGAGAAGGCAGAGGAAUUCAUGUCUGCCGCUCAUUAGAAAGUAGAAAGAGAAACAGCGUGUCAACAAUACUGAUAAAAAUGUGCAUGUGCUUGCUUUGUUAGUGUCUUGUCCUCGUGCACUGUCGUCAUUAUGAUUAUUUAUGUUCUUUAAAAAAAAAAAAAUGUGUAUCACUCUAACGGAUCUGAGAACAGUCCCACGUGUUUUUUGUGAGCUUGAUAAAUGCCCUUUUUUUUUUUUCUUUGUUGUUUUUUUUUUUUCAUUUUUACACCCUGUGAUUUUGUAUGUUUCAUUGUUUGUGGUGCUAAAAUAAAGCAGGAAGAUAUUAUUACUGGAAUAAAAACUAUUGAUGGUUGUGUCUA